rnacentral:rRNA from 1 species
CCUACGGGAGGCAGCAGUGGGGAAUUUUGGACAAUGGGCGCAAGCCUGAUCCAGCAAUGCCGCGUGAGUGAAGAAGGCCUUCGGGUUGUAAAGCUCUUUUGUCAGGGAAGAAACGGUGGGAGCUAAUAUCUCUUGCUAAUGACGGUACCUGAAGAAUAAGCACCGGCUAACUACGUGCCAGCAGCCGCGGUAAUACGUAGGGUGCAAGCGUUAAUCGGAAUUACUGGGCGUAAAGCGUGCGCAGGCGGUUUUGUAAGACUGUCGUGAAAUCCCCGGGCUCAACCUGGGAAUGGCGAUGGUGACUGCAAGGCUAGAGUUUGGCAGAGGGGGGUAGAAUUCCACGUGUAGCAGUGAAAUGCGUAGAUAUGUGGAGGAACACCGAUGGCGAAGGCAGCCCCCUGGGUCAAAACUGACGCUCAUGCACGAAAGCGUGGGGAGCAAACAGGAUUAGAUACCCUGGUAGUCCACGCCCUAAACGAUGUCUACUAGUUGUCGGGUCUUAAUUGACUUGGUAACGCAGCUACGCGUGAGUAGACCGCCGUCGGGAGGUACGGUCGCGAGAAGUUAAACGUUAAAGUAGUAAGUUAGUACGGCGUGAGACGUGCCGACGGACGACGACGAGGGAGGAGG